ensembl:lncRNA RRP7BP ribosomal RNA processing 7 homolog B, pseudogene
GGGUGGCAAGAUGGUGGCGCGCAGGACGAAGCUCGCGGCGCGGGACCCGGAGGACGGUAUCCCGAGCCCACCGUGCUACGCAGGUGAGGGGAUCCGGAACGCGAGACCGGGGGCGGCCAGCAUCGCCGGGAGGUGUUUGGGGGCUGGCGGCGGCCGGGGGUCCCCAGGAGCGGCCGCACGGUUGGGUGUGAGCCCCGGUGGCCCGUGGCCCCAGGCUCCGCAGGUCUUGAGGCUCCGGGGUCCCGAGGACCCACGCGGCGCCCUUCUGCCUGCUCACUCUCCCGGGGCGAGCCCAACUUGGUCCACGCUUCCCUUGGGUGAGCCCGCCUCUGUCCACACUCUCACCCAGGACAAACCCAUUUCCGUCCACACCUGCUUGUCCAGCUAUUCCAAUCAAGUUCUCUGAAAAGCAACAGGCUUCUCACUACCUCUAUGUGAGAGCACACGGCAUUCAACAAGGCACCAAGUCCACCUGGCCUCAGAAGAGGACUCUUUUUGUCUUCAAUGUGCCCCCAUACUGCACAGAGCAGGAGAGCCUGUCCUGCCUCCAGUCCACCUGUGGCCUUGUCCAGUCUGUAGAGUUGAAGGAGAAGCUGGAGCUGGCUGGGAGUCAAGGUCGAAGUUUUUUCAUCCAAAGCCAGUUCCGGGUUUCCAGGUAGCCUACGUGGUGUUCCAGAAGCCAAGUGGGGUGUCAGCGGCCUUGGCCCUGAAGGGCCCCCUGCUGGUGUCCACAGAGAGCCACCCUGUGAAGAGUGGCAUUCACAAAUGGAUCAGUGACUACGCAGACUCUGUGCCCGACCCUGAGGCCCUGAGGGUGGAAGUGGACACGUUCAUGGAGGCAUAUGACCAGAAGAUCGCUGAGGAAGAAGCUAAGGCCAAGGAGGAGGAGGGGGUCCCUGACGAGGAGGGCUGGGUGAAGGUGACCCGCCGGGGCCGGCGGCCUGUGCUCCCCCGGACUGAGGCAGCCAGCUUGCGGGUGCUGGAGAGGGAGAGACGGAAGCGCAGCCAAAAAGAGCUGCUCAACUACGCCUGGCAGCAUCGAGAGAGCAAGAUGGAGCAUCUAGCGCAGCUGCGCAAGAAGUUUGAGGAGGACAAGCAGAGGAUCGAGCUGCUGCGGGCCCAGCGCAAAUUCCGACCCUACUGAGCCGUGAGAGCCGCAGUGGAUGGCUGGAGGUGCAGGGCCAGGAGGAACAUGAGCCUCUAUCAGGAAUCCCCCUCUCAACAGAUGCACCGAGCUGACUUCGAGCUUUUCCCUGUGCAGCAGCCAGUGCCUGGGAUGUCUCCCUCCUCUCCUCACCUCCAUCGACUGUAUUUAAUGCCACUGAAGUGCAUACUUACAAACGGUUAAAUUGACAAUCAUUAAGUAUUAUGUUAGCUA